GGUGCCUCUAGCUCAAGGGGCCAUUGCUGGUGACUUCCUUCCUGCCCUGUGGACCCCUCUGUGGUCCUCCCCGGGGACCCUUUCCAUGUGAGGGGUCUCGGCAUCAGUCUUUCUCUCUUGGUUGCAUUACCUUUUAAUUUCCUUUUCCAUCAGACUUUGCCAGGAUUUGUUCUUACCUGGGUGUCGCGUGUGCACGCGUGUGUGUGUGUCCUCAUUCCUCUCUCCCUGUCUGAUGUAUUCAUCUUUCCUUCCCUCUCUUAUCCUCUUUCUCUCUUAAAAAAAAUCCAGGUGUAACUUACAUACCGUAAAAUGCACAAAUCUUAAGUGAAAAACCGUGAUGAAUUUUACGUGUGUCUACACCUGUGGAUCCUGCCUCCCGGAGCAAGGAGCAGACGUCCCAGCCCCCAGCAGCCUCCUUCUCGGUGGGGCCGCUCCUACCCUCCGAGGGAACUGCUCCACUGACUCUAUUACUAUUCACUGUCGUGGUUUUAGAUCCAAAGCUUCAUCAGGGCAUUUUCUCACUGUGUCUACGUGUGCAUUCUGUCUGUCUGUCUGUCUGUCUGGGCACUUCCUCAGUCGUUGCUUCCCCUCUGGAAGUGCCUUGUCUUUGUUCCCUCGUUCCAUCAACAAUUAUUGAGCACCUCCGAAGGCGGCUGUGUGUGCCUGCCUCUCCCUCCCUCCCGACUCCCGCUCUCUUCUCUUCUCUCCCGCUCCCUCGGCUCCAUCUCCAAGUCAUUAUUGAACUCCGCUUCCAUUCCGUGCGUCACUGCAGGAGUGUGUGCGUGUGUGUCCCGCUCGCCCACCGCCUCCCCCUCGCUCCCUGCUUCCCCCACCUCUGCCUCUCUCUCCCGCUCCUGGGGGCUCCAUCUAGAUUUUUCCAGGUGAGCCUGGCUCUCUUUCUCCCUCUCUCUCUGGCUCUCCCUCUUCUCCUUUCUCCCCUGCUGUCUCCGAGGGGGGUCGCUGUGCCUGUGCUGGUCUGCUGGUCGGUCCAGCUCGGCUGCUGUGGCUCUAGCCUUGUCCUCCUCCUGGCCCUGCUCCUUCCAUCCCCCUUUGAGAACUCUCCUUGCUCCACAGACAACCCACUGCCAUCAGGGUCUCUAGCUGGGACCUUGAGCUGAGCCCCAG
rnacentral:lncRNA from 1 species